rnacentral:rRNA from 1 species
UGGGGAAUUUUGGACAAUGGGCGAAAGCCUGAUCCAGCAAUGCCGCGUGCAGGAAGAAGGCCUUCGGGUUGUAAACUGCUUUUGUACGGAACGAAAAGGCUCUUUCUAAUAAAGAGGGCCCAUGACGGUACCGUAAGAAUAAGCACCGGCUAACUACGUACCAGCAGCCGCGGUAAUACGUAGGGUGCGAGCGUUAAUCGGAAUUACUGGGCGUAAAGCGUGCGCAGGCGGUUCUAUAAGACAGAUGUGAAAUCCCCGGGCUCAACCUGGGAAUGGCAUUUGUGACUGUAGAGCUAGAGUACGGUAGAGGGGGAUGGAAUUCCGCGUGUAGCAGUGAAAUGCGUAGAUAUGCGGAGGAACACCGAUGGCGAAGGCAAUCCCCUGGACCUGUACUGACGCUCAUGCACGAAAGCGUGGGGAGCAAACAGGAUUAGAUACCCUUGUAGUCCCUGAGCGGGCUGGCAAGGCGCAU